CACAGACUUGACAAAAAACACCCAGAGUAAUUAUCAUCUGCCUACUUAGAUAUUGCUAAAGAUAUUCUUACAGUGAGGAAGAACUCCUAUCUGUUGAGAAAAUUUGUUGGUUUAAGGAAAAUGGAUUUAGUGUAUGAUUUAUAAUUCAUUAAAUCUAGAGGGAAUUCAGAAUCUGCCUAUGAAUUAUAUUUUAAAUUAAAACUGAAGCAACAGAACAAACUAAUUAUUCAUUUAAUGUGAAUGAUCUCCAUAGAGGAAAAGGUGUCUCAUCAGGUGUGCAAGGGAUUAAAUAGACACUGUCAAAGCUAAGGGCAAAGAAUAAUAAGUUUACAAAAUCCAUUCUAUUUUCUUUACCUGUUCCCUGUAGCCACAGUGUUAAUGUCAACUUUCAUUCAAAUUUGUCUCAGGCCUAUUUUCCCAGACUACCUUUUUUUUUUUUUUUUUUUCUUCUAGAGCAGUUUACAAAUCUGGAAGAACCGUAUACAGUUUAAAAAGGAGGAGAUGCAUUCCUCAUGCCUCCCUGAGUCCAUUUCUGGGAGCCAUCUGCAGUCAUUUUUACAGUAAUAAAGGGUUGUAUUCAGAAUUGCUGAUGUCAUGCUGCUGGCUCCUUUUAGAGCCAUGAUAUUCAAACUCCCUCCCAUACCCUCAAGAAACAGACACAGGAGAGAAAGCAGAUUUGUCUAGAUGUGUCUGUGCCCAGGGUUAACCAGUGCUUUGAAAAAGAGUGUAGACCUUCAGGGAUGGAUGUGACGCUUCUUCUCUCCACACCUUGCAUACAAGCUCAAAGGUUUGUGUAACAGCUGACACCAGCUCCAACUUCCUGUUUGACUUAGCCUGCAUAUUGUCUGGAGCAAGGAUUAAGAUCCUGAAUCAUCUUUUACCCCCCACUCUCAGACCUGAGAAAAUGUCCUGUUAUGCCAAAGGAAUAGCACUGAAGAACAUUUGAAUCAUUAUGUUUCCCUUUCCCAGUUUUUGCCAACUGUUAAUUACCAAUGAUGUUAAAAAUAACUAAUCAUCGGUAUGCAGGAAGGCAGUGACAUUUAAAAGUGAUGCUGAAGGGCCAUGAACCGAAUGACUUUUGACUGUUACCAUGUAAUAGUUAUGUUCUCAUGUAAUGUGAUUUUUAUAAUGGGAGCUAAAAAACAUUUUCUAUAAAGUAUAACAAUUGCUGCCACUAGAACUAAUGACAAAAUCUACUCAGUUGCCUCUAGGGGGAGGAGGAAAACAAAACCUCUUUCCCUAGAGUCUUUAAUGGAGGUCUGAUUCUGAAAUUUUUACACCAACAUCAAUCACCGUACACAACAUAUUUUCUGGUUUCGUUCUUUCCUGAUUGCAGUUCUGGAUAAGUGAGAUUGGUUUCGUGUUGAACUCAUAAACCAGAAUUUAUACUUUUCUGCCUAGAUAACUCAGAAGUAUUAAGUAUCAAAGUCUACCAGCAGAUUUUCAUGGCUCAAUGUUGCCAUCGCACAAAAUUUCAGCUUAGAAACAUAUUAGUCUUAAACAUAAGUCAUGAGUGCUCUUAAGCUUUCCUGGUAUGAAGAGAAUAAAGCUUUUUUCUCUUCCUUAUGCA
ensembl:lncRNA